rnacentral:rRNA from 1 species
CGAAAGCCUGACGGAGCAAUACCGCGUGAGGGAGGAAGGUUCUUGGAUUGUAAACCUCUUUUCUCAGGGAAGAAUUUUGACGGUACCUGAGGAAUAAGCAUCGGCUAACUCCGUGCCAGCAGCCGCGGUAAUACGGGGGAUGCAAGCGUUAUCCGGAAUUAUUGGGCGUAAAGAGUCCGUAGGUGGUCAUGCAAGUCUGCUGUCAAAGCCCACAGCUCAACUGUGGAUCGGCGGUGGAAACUGUGUGACUUGAGUAUGGUAGGGGUAGAGGGAAUUCCCAGUGUAGCGGUGAAAUGCGUAGAUAUUGGGAAGAACACCGGUGGCGAAAGCGCUCUACUGGACCAUAACUGACACUGAGGGACGAAAGCCAAGGUAGCG